GGGGAUUUAACUUAGUGGUCGAGUGCUUGUUUAGCAUGUAUAAGGCCCUGGGUUCAAUUUCCGGUACCCCCA
rnacentral:tRNA from 1 species